GAUGAACGCUAGCUACAGGCUUAACACAUGCAAGUCGAGGGGCAGCAUGGUCUUAGCUUGCUAAGGCCAAUGGCGACCGGCGCACGGGUGAGUAACACGUAUCCAACCUGCCGUCUACUCUUGGACAGCCUUCUGAAAGGAAGAUUAAUACAAGAUGGCAUCAUGAGUCCGCAUGUUCACAUGAUUAAAGGUAUUCCGGUAGACGAUGGGGAUGCGUUCCAUUAGAUAGUAGGCGGGGUAACGGCCCACCUAGUCUUCGAUGGAUAGGGGUUCUGAGAGGAAGGUCCCCCACAUUGGAACUGAGACACGGUCCAAACUCCUACGGGAGGCAGCAGUGAGGAAUAUUGAUCAAUGGGCGCAGGCCUGAACCAGCCAAGUAGCGUGAAGGAUGACUGCCCUAUGGGUUGUAAACUUCUUUUAUAAAGGAAUAAAGUCGGGUAUGUAUACCCGUUUGCAUGUACUUUAUGAAUAAGGAUCGGCUAACUCCGUG
rnacentral:rRNA from 1 species